UACGUAGGGGGCAAGCGUUGUCCGGAUUUAUUGGGCGUAAAGAGCGUGUAGGCGGCCAGACAGGUCCGUUGUGAAAACUCGAGGCUCAACCUCGAGACGCCGAUGGAAACCGUCUGGCUAGAGUCCGGAAGAGGAGAGUGGAAUUCCUUGUGUAGCGGUGAAAUGCGCAGAUAUCAGGAAGAACACCCGUGGCUAAGGCGGCUCUCUAGUACGGUACUGACGCUGAGACGCGAAAGCGUGGGGAGCGAACAGG
rnacentral:rRNA from 1 species